GAUGAAGAACGUAGCGAAAUGCGAUAAGUAGUGUGAAUUGCAGAAUUCCGUGAAUCAUCGAAUCUUUGAACGCACAUUGCGCCCGGUAGUAUUCUGCCGGGCAUGCCUGUUCGAGCGUCAUUUCAACCAUCAAGCCCCAGCGCUUGUGUUGGGGGCCUGCGGCUGCCGCAGCCCCCCAAAAGCAGUGGCGGGCUCGCUAUCACACCGAGUGCAGUAGUUCAUCUUCUCUCCGGUCUUGUGAGGCGGGUUCCGGCCGUGAAACACCCCACUACAUUCAAGGUUGACCUCGGAUCAGGUAGGAAUACCCGCUGAACUUAAGCAUAUCAAUAAGCGGAGGA
rnacentral:misc_RNA from 1 species